rnacentral:rRNA from 1 species
UACGGAGGGUGCGAGCGUUGUCCGGAAUCACUGGGCGUAAAGGGCGCGUAGGCGGCUUGGGAAGUCCGUGGUGAAAGCUCGUGGCUCAACUGCGAGUCGGCCACUGAUGACUGGGUUGCUCGAGCACUGUAGAGGCAGAUGGAAUUCCGGGUGUAGCGGUGGAAUGCGUAGAGAUCCGGGAAGAACACCGGUGGCGAAGGCGGUCGUGCUGGGCGCAGUGAGCUGGACACUGAGGCGCGACAGCGUGGGGAGCAAACAGG